GACGAACGCUGGCGGCGUGCCUAAUACAUGCAAGUAGAACGCACAGUUUAUACCGUAGCUUGCUACACCAUAGACUGUGAGUUGCGAACGGGUGAGUAACGCGUAGGUAACCUGCCUGGUAGCGGGGGAUAACUAUUGGAAACGAUAGCUAAUACCGCAUAAUAUUAAUUAUUGCAUGAUAAUUAAUUGAAAGGUGCAAUUGCACCACUACCAGAUGGACCUGCGUUGUAUUAGCUAGUAGGUGAGGUAACGGCUCACCUAGGCGACGAUACAUAGCCGACCUGAGAGGGUGAUCGGCCACACUGGGACUUGGACACGGCCCAGACUCCUACGGGAGGCAGCAGUAGGGAAUCUUCGGCAAUGGACGAAAGUCUGACCGAGCAACGCCGCGGGAGUGAAGAAGGGUUUCGGAUCGUAAAGCUCUGUUGUAAGAGAAGAACGGGUGUGAGAGUGGAAAGUUCACACUGUGACGGUAUCUUACCAGAAAGGGACGGCUAACUACGUG
rnacentral:rRNA from 1 species